CGCAGCCCCACUGGGCUUCUCUUCCCACGCUCUAGGCACCACAGGGCCAGGCGAAUCUCUUUGGCUCGGGUUAAUGAGCAUCUGCCAGUUGGGGAUGCAAAAGCCCAGUAAAUUUGUUUUUCUGGAUAUCUCAAUGCGGCCAUCGGCCCGCGCGCCCGGCCCAAUGCGGCCUCCUGUUCCUCUUUGUCCAUAUCUCAACUUGGCAGGCAAAAUCCCUUGCCCAGCAACGCGCCUUCAGCAGCCUCCCCCCAACCCCCGUAUUUAUUUAUUCUCUACCCUGCUCCUCCCAGCAGCUAGAGGAGGAAGCGAUUAGAAGAAGGUUCAAUAGAACAAGAAAAGAUGAACCCUUUUGGGGAGAAAGGGAUUUUUUUCCCCCUCAAAGAAUGCGGACCGUGGAAGGCAGAAUCAGAGGUUUGAAUAGAAGCUCCUAAGAGGCUAUGCCCAUUGAGCCACUCAGCCACCAAUCCAUCCAGCCACCAUUUGCCCAUUUUCCAUGCUGCAGGCCAUGUAGGAGGAACAACAAGUGGCUUUAGAACUGAUGGAAUGCAGCCCACG
rnacentral:lncRNA from 1 species